rnacentral:rRNA from 1 species
CAGCAGCCGCGGGAAUACGGAGGGCGCGAGCGUUACCCGGAUUUACUGGGCGUAAAGGGCGUGUAGGCGGCCUGGGGCGUCCCAUGUGAAAGGCCACGGCUCAACCGUGGAGGAGCGUGGGAUACGCUCAGGCUAGAGGGUGGGAGAGGGUGGUGGAAUUCCCGGAGUAGCGGUGAAAUGCGCAGAUACCGGGAGGAACGCCGAUGGCGAAGGCAGCCACCUGGUCCACUUCUGACGCUGAGGCGCGAAAGCGUGGGGAGCAAACCGGAUUAGAUACCCCGGUAGUCCCUGUCUCUUAUAA